rnacentral:SRP_RNA from 1 species
GCCGGGCGCGGUGGCGCGCGCCUGUAAUCCCAGCUACUCGGGAGGCUGAGGCUGGAGAAUCACUUGAGCUCAUGAGUUCUGGGCUGCAGUGCGCUAUGCCGAUCGGGUGUCCGCACUAAGUUCGGUAUCAAUAUGGUGACCUCCUGGGAGCAGGGGACCACCAGGUUGCCUAAGGAGGGGUGAACCAGCCCAGGUCAGAAACGGAGCAGGUCAAAACUCCCGUGCUGAUCAGUAGUGGGAUCGUGCCUGUGAAUAGCCACUGUACUCCAGCCUGGGCAACAUAGCGAGACCCUGUCUCU